GCAUAUCAAUAAGCGGAGGAAAAGAAACCAACUGGGAUUGCCUUAGUAACGGCGAGUGAAGCGGCAAUAGCUCAAAUUUGAAAUCUGGCCCCUAGGGUCCGAGUUGUAAUUUGUAGAGGAUGUCUCGGUGUGGGCCCUGAUUGAAGUUCCUUGGAACAGGAUGUCACAGAGGGUGAGAGCCCCGUCCGUGGUCGGUGGCCCCUGCCGUGUGAGGCUCCUUCGACGAGUCGAGUUGUUUGGGAAUGCAGCUCUAAAUGGGAGGUAAAUUUCUUCCAAGGCUAAAUAUCAGCUAGAGACCGAUAGCGCACAAGUAGAGUGAUCGAAAGGUGAAAAGCACUUUGAAAAGAGGGUUAAAAAGCACGUGAAAUUGUUGAAAGGGAAGCGCUUGCAACCAGAGCGGUUUGGAGGGGUUCAGCCUUUGGCGCACUCCCCUCCAGUCAGGCUAGCAUCAGUUCGGCCGGUCGGAUAAAGGUCGUGGGAAUGUGGCACCCUCGGGUGUGUUAUAGCCCAUGGCACAAUACGGCCUGGCUGGACUGAGGUCCACGCUUCGGCAAGGAUGCUGGCGUAAUGGUUGUCAGCGGCCCGUCUUGAAACACGGACCAAGGAGUCUAACAUCUGUGCGAGUGUUCGGGUGUCAAACCCGUGAGCGUAAUGAAAGUGAACGGAGGUGGGAGCCCUCGGGUGCACCAUCGACCGAUCCUGAUGUCUUCGGAUGGAUUUGAGUAUGAGCAUAGCUGUUGGGACCCGAAAGAUGGUGAACUAUGCGCGGAUAGGGUGAAGCCAGAGGAAACUCUGGUGGAGGCUCGCAGCGGUUCUGACGUGCAAAUCGAUCGUCAAAUCUACGCAUAGGGGCGAAAGACUAAUCGACCAUCUAGUAGCUGGGUCUGC
rnacentral:rRNA from 1 species